GAAAAAUGUACGUGUGUUUUCGGUGGCUGAGCGGCCACGCCUCGGGAUCGCUUCCUGACUGGCAGGUGGCCUGUUAUGAGUCCUGACAUCAGGGUCACCCCAGCAUGCAGAGCAGUAACUGCCUCCCCGCGCGGCGCGCCACAGACGCCUGUGAGCGCUGCACCCAUCACAUGGGCUGCAAUCUCGUCAGUCAGCCCUCAAGGGACGGCUGGACAAGCACCGCACAAAGGACGACAGUCGAAAUGAGAAUGGGCUGAAGAGCUGGGGGUGAGGUGGAUAGGAUCCUUCACAGGGCUUGGCACUCCCUGUGCUUUGAGGGGCAGGACCUUGCACCAACCUCCACGAAGGCAUCAGUCAGGUCACUAGCUCGGUCCAUCACUGGCAAAUGGCGCCCAGCCACGAUUUUCACCUUCAGCUUCCCAGGCAUCUUUCUCGGCUUCGGCCUCUCCUUGGGCUCCUGCAGAAACAAACAAGCGAGUCUGCGCCGAGCUCCAAGCCCGGCGGGGGAGGGGCGGGAGCGCGCGGGGAGCGGCGCGCGCUGCCGGGAGCGCGCGGGGUAACUGACAGUGGAGGGCGCGCUAUGGCGCGCCGCGCCGAUGGUUGCCACUCACUCUCGGAUGAGUAAGGGGGCUGUCCCGCGCGGGCGCUGAAGCCUCAUUCCGGAGAGGCAGCCGGAGGAGUGGUCCCGGUGGAUUCUUCUACCCCAGUCCCACAGUGCUGGGUACAACCUAUCCACACAGAGGAAAAUACUGAUGGGCCUUCCUUGUCACAUGGUGAUGGUGACUGGAAUCACAGAAAUGGUGUCUAGAAGAAAAUAGAGACAGAGUGUGAGCUGGGGGCAGGGGGGCAGAGAGAGACUGGAACCGAGGAUCUGAAGUGGGCUCUGUGCUGACAGCAGACAGCCUGAUACAGGGCUUGAACCCAUGAACCCUGAGAUCAUGACCUGAGCUGAAUGAAGCUGGCUGCUUAACUGACUGAGUCCCUCAGGCACCCCUUCCGUGUUUUUUGAAUGUGAGAAAAAUUCUGUUGUAAUCAAGCUGUUUUAGAAAUAGCAAGAGUAUUCAAAGUAUUCAAAGUAUUUUAGAAGGCUCUAUAACCUUGGUAACAAAAGUAAGGAACACUAUAAGAAAAUAACAUCAUAGACAAAUCUCACUUAUGAAUGUAGACCCAGAGUCAUAAAUAAAACUUGAAAAAAAUCAUGACCAGAUAAGGUUUAUUCCAUGACUAUAAGCAUGGUCUAUCUAACAUCAGAAAAUCUGUAACAAUUUAUCAUGUUAACAUUAUUUCAUGUUCAAAUAUUUACACUAAAAGGAUUCUCCCACAUGUCAAGUCAUGUACAAAGGUCUUCACUGCUGCCCUUUUAGUUUAAUUUUUUAAAAAAUGCAAGUAAUCUUUUUUUUUUUUAAAGUAAGCUCUAUGCCCACCAUGAGCCUCAAACUCAUCACCCUGUGAUCAAAAGUCCUAAGCUCUAUGGACUGAGCCAGCCACCAGGUGCCCUCCCCAAAACUAGAAAUAAUCUAAAUGCUUUUCAAUAAGAGAGUAGAUAAGCAAACUAUAUUAUUCACUGUAUGGAUUCCUUUGCAGCAAUUGGAUUGAAUCCAUUGCAUAUAUAUGCAUGUUUAAAUCUCAGAUAAUUUUUAAUGAAAAAGCAGUGUGCAGAAUACUAUGUAUAACAUUUGUGUAAUAUUUGUAAGCGUACAAAAUAAUAUUAUACAGUAUUAAUGGAUACAUACAAGUAUGGUAAAAUAUAUAAAAACAUGGAUAGGAAGAAUAUACAUAUAUACAUAUACAUAUCAAUUUCGGGAUAGCUGUUCUUCUGGGGAAAGAUAAAGGCAAACAAGGCAAGAGGAUUUCAUCUCUAUAAUGUUUUAUUCCUUAGGAAAUAUGACUGAAUUUGCUAAAUCUGGAUUAUGUGAACAUGAUUGGUUGUAAUGUUGUUCUUGGUACUCUUCUAGUAAGUUCUCAUUAUUUCAUUUUUAAAAAGUUAGAGAUGUUUGCUUGAUGCGACUAAAAUAAAAUGUUUGAUUAUAAAGAGGGCAAUAAUAGCUCCUACUGAGACCAUAAAGCCACAGUUAAUUAUACAGUAGUUCUAAUAUUGACGUAUGAUUUCAGUUUAUAUGGAAAUGUACUGUUUUAGGACUACCCCCUUAGUUUCAUUCAUUACCAUAUCAAAAGCGUAUGUCUUCAGAGUUUGUAUCCUUGGGAACCUUCCUGGUUGCUAGGUAGACCAAUAAAAGCCCUAAGAUUCACAUUCAGUGGUCCAUGACGGUUACUAAGCUAAAAAGAACCAAGGAGAGAUAGGGGAGGAACUCGUGUGUUCUGACCAAAUUAGAGUUUUAGUCUAAUGUUCAGCCGAGAUCUAAAAUACCACAUUAAAAAAAUUAAAAAAUAAAAUACCACAUUAAGUCCCUUGAAGAGUACAGAGAGAUCUAGAACAGUCACUGCUCUCAAAUAAGUUCCAUUUUAGUUUAUUCACUUAAAAUGUAACAAUAGAGUAUGACAACGAAUGGUAAAUAUAAUAGGAAUUCAGAGGCAGAAAAACAUCUCUGUGAAGUAAGAUGCUUGGUGAGAUUUCAAGGGGAAAAUGAGGCCCUGGGUGGGAAAUAAAGGGUGAGAACUGUUCAGAGAAGGGAGCAAGGUGGAACCAAGUCAGGGUUUAGGAAGAGGAAGUCAGGGGCCAUAGAGCAGAGUGUAUGAGAUUUGAAUACCUCUUGCUUUGUCCACUACAAUAUAUUUCAAAUUAUUUUCCUUUAUUUUUAAAAUAUAAGCAACACUAUUUUAUUUUAUUUUAUACAUAGGUAAUUUUCCCAGUUAAGUAGAGAUAUGGUGUAAAAAAAUAAUUUAGAACUGAAUUGCCAGAUAAUUUCAAUGCAGUAGAAGAUGAAGGAUGGGAAAAUCCAAAGUGAGGUAAAAGUUUUGUCUUGCUUGAGGGGAGGAUGUUAAUGAUCAAUUAAUUCUUUAUGUGAAAACAGUAUAAAUAUGUUUCUUACUCUACUUCUUUAAGUUUUUAAAAAAUUUUUACUUAUUUAUUUUUGAGAAGGGGAGGGUAGAGGGGCAGAGAGCAAGGGGAUCCCAGGCAGGCUUAGUCAGCAUGGAGCUGGACGUGGGGCUCAAACUCAUAAACUGUGAGAUAACCACCCGAGUCAAAAUCAAGAGUCAGCCGCUUAAUGGACUGAACCACCCAGGCACCCCAAGACUUUUUAAGUAAGCUCUGCAUGCAAUGUGGGUUGGAUGCCAAGUGCCCCUUACUCUACUUACUUCUGUAUUAUUUAUGUGUCAUGAGUUAGAGCUACCAGUCCAGAUCAACUUCUUUCUCUACAUUAAUUUUUUUAAUGUUUAUGUAUUUUUGAGAGAGAGAGAGAGAGAGAGAGAGGGAGAGAGAGCACACAUGCAUGCACACAAGUUGGGGAGGGGCAGAGGGGGUUGGGCAGAGGAUCUGAAGUGAGCUCUGCACUGACAGCAGUGAGCCAGAUGUGGGGCCCGAACUCAUGAACUGGGAGAUCAUGACCUGAGCCUAAGUUGAUGCUCAACCGACUGAGCCACCCAGGCUCCCCUCUACAUUAAUUUUACUUUAGGAGACGUGCUGCCUAUCCCUACCACUGGCCCUUGAAUGAAUGAAGCCCGCCUUCUCCACUCCAGAACCAUUCUCUAAUUCUGCAUCUCAGAGAGGAGGAUGUAGGAUAUCCUCAGAGAGGAUAUUUAGGAUGUAUUCUCUCACAGAAGUCCCCGAGCGCCUUAUACAAAUUCAUCUACUUCCACCCUGUGGGUAACCAGCUUUACAUUUCAGGAGUCACAGUGAGUGACAGAUCUGAUGGAGCAAUGAAAGAUAUUUGCUCUGCUCUUUAAAGAUUUCUGCCUGCCUGACAUUUGUAUAAAGAAUAGGGCCAUUCAAUGUGGCACCUGCAUGGCUCAGUCUGUUAAGUGUCCAACUUGGGCUCGGGUCAUGAUCUUGAGGUUCUUGGGUUUGAGCCCUGCCUAGGGCUCUGUGCUGACAGCCCAGAGCCUGGAGCCUGCUUCAGAUUCUGUGUCUCCCUCUCCUUCUGGCUCUCCCCUGCUCUCGCUCUCUGUGUCUCUCAAAAAUAAAUAAAACAUUAAAAAAUAUAUUAAAAAUAAAUUAAUUAAAAAUUAAAAAAAAAGAGAAAUAUAUUCAAAAAUAAAACUCAACAUGACUUUGUAAGAUAACUUUGAUGCAGGGAGUUUAGGAAAGAGGACAGUGUCAAAGAAUACCAUUUUGGCAUGAAAAACUGGACAAAACCAGCCUGCUUCCGAUUCCCCCUCCAUCACUCUCUGCCUGUCCCCUACUCACACACUGUCACUCUCUCAAAUAUAAAUAAACAUUAAAAAAAAAAGAGGGGCGCCAGCGUGGCUCAGUCGGUUAAGCGUCCGACUUCGGCUCAGGUCAUGAUCUCACGGUUCCUGGGUUCUAGCCCCACAUCUGGCUCUGUGCUGACCGCUUGCCGUCUUGAGCCUGCUGUGGAUUCUGUGUCCCCCCGUCUCUCUGCCCCUCCCCACUCGUGCUCUGUCUCACUGUGUCUCAAAAAUAAAUAAA